rnacentral:rRNA from 1 species
CCUACGGGGGGCAGCAGUGAGGAAGAGUGGUCAAUGGGCGCGAGCCUGAACCAGCCAAGUAGCGUGAAGGAUGACUGCCCUACGGGUUGUAAACUUCUGUUAUAAAGGAAUAAAGUGAGGCACGUGUGCCUUUUUGUAUGGACUUUAUGAAUAAGGAGCGGCUAACUCCGUGCCAGCAGCCGCGGUAAUACGGAGGAUCCGAGCGUUCUCCGGAUUUAUUGGGUUUACAGGGAGCGUAGGCGGGUUGUUAAGUCAGUUGUGAAAGUUUGCGGCUCAACCGUAAAAUUGCAGUUGAUACUGGCAUCCUUGAGUACAGUAGUGGUAGCCGUAAUUCGUUUUGUAGCGGUGCACUGCUUAGCUAUCACGCAGAACUCCGAUUG